rnacentral:rRNA from 1 species
CUGUGAGAAGGGACGAAAAAACAGGCUCAUACCCUGUUCUGACGGUACCUUCAGAGGAAGCCCCGGCUAACUACGUGCCAGCAGCCGCGGUAAUACGUAGGGGGCAAACGUUGUCCGGAUUUACUGGGUGUAAAGGGCGCGUAGGCGGGUUUGUAAGUCAGAGGUGAAAUCCUGCGGCUCAACCGCAGAACUGCCUUUGAUACUGCAAAUCUUGAGUACAGAAGAGAGAAGCAGAAUUCCAGGUGUAGUAGUGAAAUACGUAGAUAUCUGGAAGAAUACCGGCGGCGAAGGCGGCUUCUUGGUCUGUAACUGACGCUGAGGCGCGAAAGCGUGGGUAGCAAACAGGAUUAGAUACCCUGGUAGUCCACGCUGUAAACGAUGAAUACUAGGUGUCGGGUUAAAAGCUCGGCGUCGCAGCUAACGCAUUAAGUAUUCCACCUGGGGAGUACGAUCGCAAGGUUGAAACUCAAAGGAAUUGACGGGGGCCCGCACAAGCAGUGGAGCAUGUGGUUUAAUUCGAUGCAACGCGAAGAACCUUACCUGGGCUUGAAAGGCAAGAUUCAAAUCCCUGAAAGGGGAUGACCCGCAAGGGGUCUUGUACAGGUGCUGCAUGGCUGUCGUCAGCUCGUGCCGUGAGGUGUUAGGUUAAGUCCUGCAACGAGCGCAACCCCUACACUUAGUUGCCAUCAGGUAAUGCUGGGCACUCUAAGUGGACUGCCUACGCAAGUAGCGAGGAAGGUGGGGAUGACGUCAAGUCCUCAUGGCCCUUACGCCCAGGGCCACACACGUGCUACAAUGGCCACUACAAAGGGUUGCCAAGGCGCAAGCCGGAGCUAAUCCCAAAAAAGUGGUCUCAGUUCAGAUUGUGGGCUGCAACUCGCCCACAUGAAGCUGGAAUUGCUAGUAAUCGCAGAUCAGCACGCUGCGGUGAAUACGUUCCCGGGCCUUGUACACACCGCCCGUCAAGCCAUGGAAGCUGAGGGUACCCGAAGCCGAUGUGCUAACCGCAAGGAAGCAGGCGUCUAAGGUAAAAUCAGUGACUGGGGCUAAGUCGUAACAAGGUAGCCGUAUCGGAAGGUGCGGCUGGAUCACCUCCUUU